UGAUCGAUGACAGCCACUACAAUCUCUAUAACAUUUCGGAGACCUUCCUUUUUAGAUGAGAAAAUAAUCGAAAACAUAUCAGCAAGUUUGGGGCAUUCCUGAUGGUGCAAAAUGCAAGUCAGAUGCAUGUCGGGUGCAGGUUGAGUGCAAAAUGCAGGCGCCAGCACGUUCGCGACACAGCAACAAAUCGCGAUGUUCAUUGGAAGAACAGGAAUUGCCGCUACAACAUACGACUUUUGCUCCCCUCUUAAACUCGCCAGACUCAACCUCCGUUUUCUACCGUCUCCAAUGCCCUCUUCGUGUGAGUCUACGCUUUGAUCGAACCCCCAAGCGGUCGUUAACUUCGGCGCAGUAAGAGCAAGGGUUUGUUUCACUGUUCUUUCACCUUGCUCUUCUGACGGAUGUAAAGACUGUGGAAACGGGUGCGCUACUAAAGUUGCAGGCGGUACUAGUAAGUGCCCUGGUACGUGAAGACUCUCUUGACUCCGGAGAACUGGUUUAUCGGUGGUUUGUGAUGGUGGUUGCUUGGUGCGAAGAGUAGAAAGCUCAUCCGGGCUAACGUUGACCUCCAUUUCCGAAAGACUGCUUACUCGACUUUGGAGUAGCGGCUGUUCUGUGUUGAUUGAAAAUCAUCGCUCGAGGUGUCGUAUUUGGAGAGCAUAAUAUUGAAUGAAUGAAAAAUAUAAUUAUGUAUGCGCAGGAAACAGGCGAAAUUAAGUUUAAAAUAUAUGCUUCUCAAAUUACAGUAAUCAGUCAUUCAGUGCAUUUUUUUUCUAAAUCGUCCUACUUACUCUUUGUUUACUCCUUUUCUAUGAAAAAAGUCUAUCUCACAUUCAGUGGAAAACGAUUUAAAUGAUAGGCAAUUAGAUAAUGCAAAUCCCCCUAUGACUUUUAUUGACAUUGUCUAUUUACAUAAAGUAGUUCGUCUUCCUUCCGAUAUGCAUCAGAACUGAGAGCGCAUUAUACAAGAAAACGUUUAUAUAGAGCAAAGAAUAUGAGUGCGUGUUUUAUUGGGUAAGAAUGAUAACGGAUAGGCAUGAUCGUGAAAAGAAAGAAGAAAGUUGCGUGCCGUAUUAUCCUUGUGUUUUAGGGACCGACUUACUACCAUUAUUACGGUAUUUGCCCUUUUUUUUUGGGGGGGGAGGGGGGUGGGGGUUACGGCGUUACGAGCUGACAUCAGAUAUCAAAUCAACUCCAAAACUCUAAUCUCAAAAUUCUAAAACUCAAAACUAAAUUUUAUCAAAAAUAAUCCUGCAGGGUAUUGGAGCCAAAUUGUUUAAUAAUUCGCCUGCUGCAAGUAUGAUCAUUUCUAGAUCGCUUAGGUCGUUUUAAGAACAAGCAAAAUAUUUACAUUUCAAGAAAAAGUUCCAGUUUAGCUUUAAGGGGUUAAUAUGUAAAUUUAGGUAGUUUUUAUAUUAAAUUGUAAAAUUGUAGCAUAUACAUUAUAUAUAUAUAUUUUGGGAUACAUUUGUCUUUUUCCAUAUAAUUUUGUUAUCCAGGUCUACCAUUUAUAUCAGCUUUGCUGAAGGGCAUUACCUGGGAAAAUAUUAGUAAACAAUAAAAAAAAAAAUAAUAACU